rnacentral:lncRNA from 1 species
AAGAUUGAAACAGGCUAUAUUGCUCUAACAACAAUAAAACUAUUUUUCUCCCAAACUACAGAAAUUGAAGAGAUAACUGUUUCCCAUUGCACACAGUUUUCAGACACACAGUGUGCCAGUAUACACAGAAAAGUGCAACAGAUAACCUUGUUUGGUUUCUCGUCUGUGAUAGCCACAGUUAAACAGGAAAAUAGUGUAAUGCAAGCAAGAUUCAAUACUGCUAUAAAGCAGCUCUAAAAAGAGGACAAUAGUAAACAGUAUAAACUAUUUUUAUUUUUGCCUCCAUGUACUCCUAAUUUGCUGCUAGUUAGUAAGGGAGUUGUUAAGUUUUUGUUUAGGGUAGAAUUAAGGGAUCUAAAAUAUGGACAUGCAGAAUAAGGCAUUAAUAUGUGCAUUAAGUAGUAAUAAAUCUGAUUCUGGCAGCCUGCUUCUUUUGCAG